rnacentral:rRNA from 1 species
AGGUGAAAAGCACUUCGAACAGAAGAGUGAAAUAGUCCCUGAACCCAUACGCCUACAAGCAGUCGGAGCCGCUUCGUGCGGUGACGGCGUGCCUUUUGCAUAAUGAGCCUACGAGUUACUCAUCACCAGCGAGGUUAAGUACUUCAGGUACGUAAGCCGAAGCGAAAGCGAGUCUGAAUAGGGCGUCAAGUUGGUGGUGGUAGACGCGAAACCUUAGUGAUCUACCCAUGGGCAGGGUGAAGGUUUGGUAACACAAACUGGAGGCCCGAACCGGUAAACGUUGAAAAGUUUUCGGAUGACCUGUGGGUAGGGGUGAAAGGCCAAUCAAACUGGGAAAUAGCUCGUACUCUCCGAAAUGCAUUUAGGUGCAGCCUCUGUUGUUUUGUUCUAGAGGUAGAGCUACUGAUUGGAUGCGAGGGCUUCACCGCCUAUCAAAUCCGGCCAAACUCCGAAUGCUAGAACAUGAAGACAGGGAGUGAGCCAGCGGGUGCUAAGGUCCGUUGACGAAAGAGGGAGAACUCAGACCAUCAGCUAAGGUCCCCAAUUAUAUGCUAAGUUGGAAUAAAAACGGGGUGGGACUGCUUAGACAGCUAGGAUGUUGGCUUGGAAGCAGCCAUUCAUUUAAAGAGUGCGUAACAGCUCACUAGUCGAGCGGUCCUGCAUGGAUAAUACGCGGGCAUAAGCAUAUAACCGAAGCUAUGGGAUUGUAGAUGAUACAAUCGGUAGGAGAGCAUUCCAUUCAGCAUAGAAGCAGUAUCGUGAGGUAUUGUGGAGCGGAUGGAAAAGCAAAUGUAGGCAUAAGUAACGAUAAUGCGGGUGAGAACCCCGCACGCCGAAAGAUCAAGGAUUCCCCGGCAAUGUCAAUCAUCCGGGGGUAAGUCGGAUCCUAAGGGUAAGCCGAGUGGCGAUCCCGAUGGUAAACAGGUUAAUAUUCCUGUACUGAUCAUAACUGCGAUGCAGCGACGCAGAGGUGACACUGCUGCGUACUGACGGAAUAGUACGUUGAAACCCGUAUUCUUUGAUACCGGUAGUGAAGCACGCCGGUAGAGAUGAAAGGUGAUAGUACCGCAAUGCUUCGGUUGCGCGGAUAACGCAGGUAAGCUGACUGCCAAGAAAACCUGCUAAGCUUCAGGUAAUGAUCAUCCGUACUGUAAACGGACACACGUGAUCAGGUAGAAAAUACUAAGGCGCUCGAGAGAUUCAUGGUUAAGGAACUAGGCAAAAUGGUCCUGUAACUUCGGGAUAAAGGACGCUCUUGUGAAAGAGCCGCAGAUAAUAGGCCCAGGCGACUGUUUACCAAAAACACAUGGCUAUGCUAAUUCGCAAGAAGAUGUAUAUGGCCUGACACCUGCCCGGUGCCGGAAGGUUAAGAGGAGAGCUCAGAGGCAACUCGAAGGUUUGAAUUGAAGCCCCGGUAAACGGCGGCCGUAACUAUAACGGUCCUAAGGUAGCGAAAUUCCUUGUCGGGUAAGUUCCGACCUGCACGAAUGGUGUAACGAUCUGGGUACUGUCUCAACCAUGAGCUCGGUGAAAUUGUAGUUCCGGUGAAGAUGCCGGAUACCCGCAACGGGACGGAAAGACCCCGUGAACCUUUACUGCAGCUUUGCAUUGAUUUUGGGUAACAGAUGUGUAGGAUAGGUCGGAGGCUUUGAUGCUGCGUCGUCAGGCGUAGAGUAGCCGUCGUUGAAAUACGACCCUUUUGUUAUCUGAGGUCUAAUCCCGUUAGGGAGACAUUGCAUGGUGGGUAGUUUGACUGGGGUGGUCGCCUCCAAAAGUGUAACGGAGGCUUCUCAAGGUACCCUCAAGGCGUUUGGUAAUCGUCUGCAGAGUGCAAUGGCAUAAGGGUGCUUGACUGUGAGACCGACACGUCGAUCAGGUUGGAAACAAGAGCAUAGUGAUCCGGUGGUUCCGCAUGGAAGGGCCAUCGCU